rnacentral:tRNA from 1 species
GGAGCUAUAGUUUAAUGGUUAAAAUAAGUGCCUGUCACGUGCUAGAUACGAGUUCAAUUCUCGUUAGUUCCG